AUACUCUGGUUUCUCUUCAGAUCGUAUAAAUCUUUCACCUUUUACUAAAGAUUUCCGUGGAGAGAAAUUUGAGGUAGAGCACAGAAGUUUUCGACAAACUUCUCUAGGUGAUU